rnacentral:rRNA from 1 species
UACGUAGGUGGCAAGCGUUGUCCGGAUUUACUGGGCGUAAAGAGCGCGCAGGCGGUCGUUCAAGUCGAGUGUGAAAGCCCCCGGCUCAACUGGGGAGGGUCACUCGAUACUGAUCGACUCGAAGGCAGAAGAGGGAAGCGGAAUUCCCGGUGUAGUGGUGAAAUGCGUAGAUAUCGGGAGGAACACCAGUGGCGAAGGCGGCUUUCUGGUCUGUAACUGACGCUGAGGCGCGAAAGCGUGGGGAGCAAACAGG